UUAUUUUUCCUGUGUUCAUUUAGGGGAUGGUUAAAGUGUUGAGCUGGAUCCUCAGGUGGCAUAAGCCAUUGUUGACUUCACUGGGGUUACACCACUUCACACUAACUGGAGAUUGGGGCCAUUGGCUUGACAGCCAUAGAAAUUAGAAACGAACGAAUUUCAGACUGCUGGGAAAUCAGAGUCAACUGCUGCCCGUGUCUUCAGUUUGAGCAGGAACACGGAAACAGAAGAAAACGGAGAGAUCUGGAAACUGAGGUAAAGAGAGGUUAAGGAACUUACCCAAGGUCCUACAGCUCUGCAACAGAAUUCCUGCCUCACGCUGAAUGUCCCAGACCCCACAGCCUCUCCUCCUGUGUACCACCUAUGGAGCUACCGACCCAGGAAAGCAAAU